CCCAAAAAGAAGAUGAAAAUGCUCUUAAGAAAUGCAAGUGAUCUCUAUUGACCUGAGACUUUUGUAUAACCAUGGCCUGUGGCACAUGACUGCAGUAUGCAUUUCUUGUCCAAACAGAAUGUCACUUGUGCCCCAUUCUGUUGGUCAAGCAAGUCACUAAGUCACCCAGAUUCCAAGACAGAGGAUUAGACUCCACCUGUUAAUGGACUAACAAGAUCUCAUUGAAGAAGUGCAUGAGGGAUAGAAGUUAUCACUGAAGACAUUGUUGGACAAUAUAAACUGCCAUAGUUCUCAAAGAAUGAUCUGGAAAAUUUAAGGUGACAGCAUCCAGAUCAUCUCUCACUGGCACAUUUGAAUUUGAAAAUUGGUGAAAAAGAGAGUAGAUCUUCUGGAGAUCACGUCAGACUUACAUCAUCGAUGUAAUUGCUAAGGAGGCCAUCCCUCCCCAUGGGGAACGUUAAAGGGUUGGGUGAAUUGACAGCAGCAUGGCCUGUUUCUUCCCUGAGCAAGAAGCUAGGUCAGUAAAGCAGACAAAUUCCAGGGAGAUUCAUAAACUGAUCUUCUGCAUUUCCCGUCAGAAGGGCCAUUCAAGAGCAUCACACUGCUUGACCGGCAUCCUCUAGCACUGGAUGAUUGAACUGAAGCUGAGGCACCAAGUGGCAGAGAAUCAGAAGCAUGACCACGACUCCUCCUUUGACAUCUAAUUUCUGA